CAAAAGAACACUCAAUUUUUAUGACUAAGUAGACUGUGAAUAUGCAGAGACAAGCACACUUCUUCCCUGCAAAAAGCCUCUUUCAUGGGAUUACUUAGGAGACAGAGACUUCCUGAAGACACAACAGGCAAGGCAAGGAAAAGAUAUUAAACUAUUACAGACUGGACAGGGUUAUAGGUCAUCCUAUAAAAUAUCACCUUCUACAUCGAAGAAAUCUUCAGAGAACAGAAUAAAACCUCACAAGAUAGUGUUUGGAGCUGGAGACCUGUGUGUCUCAAGUGAAAUUGCUUCUUCAGUUACUCAGCUGAAUUGUGGACUUAAAUUAAGAAGAGUUUAACAGUUGCAGGAGUUCCCUGUAAGAAAAUACUUACGGUGUACUGCUCAGCUGUAAAGGAGAUCAGCAUUUAAAAUCCUACUUGGCCACAGGACCCUUUUACAAGCCAAGGUACUUUUGUCUUUCAGAUAAUUUCUUCCUCUUCUAAAGAUUAAUAAUGAGGAUAUGCAGUUUGUGAACCCUUCAGCUGCUGCCAAGAGGAGGUCCAUGCAAGAAGAUCAACUCUUUUGACCAAAGAAAAUGUUGCUGAGGAGAAAAUAUGCUGAUUCAUUUAUCUUUAUUGCUGCAUGGUGGCUCUGGUGUAGUAAUGAUGCUGCAGAAUAUGCAAAGAUGGGAAGCUAAGGUUAAUGGGUUGUGAAAAUCCAUAAGAACCAAAGCACAAAUUUUUUUUCUUUAGCAAAUUGGGUGUUUUGUAAUCACCAAGCAAUCUUUUAAACUUUAAAAAAAUAUAUUCGUCACAUGAACCUACAUAAAUAAUAUUUACAUAAAUAAAUAUGUAAAUAAAUAAUAUUUAUUAAAAAAG
ensembl:lncRNA